GAUGAACGCUGGCGGCGUGCCUAAUACAUGCCAGUCGAGCGAACAGACCAUGAGCUUUCUCCUCUUACUUUUUCCGCUGACGUGUGUGUAACACUUUGUUAACCUUCCUUUUAUUCUUUUAUCACUUCGUGAAACCUGCUCUAAUACCGUCUAAUAUUUUUAACCUCAUUGUUCUAUAUUGAUAUACGGUUUUUCUGUCUCUUUUAGCUUGUUCCGCGCCGCAUUAGCUAGUUGGUAAGGUAACGGCUUACCAAGGCAACGAUGCGUAGCCGACCUGAGAGGGUGAUCGGCCACACUGGAACUGAGACACGGUCCAGACUCCUACGGGAGGCAGCAGUAGGGAAUCUUCCGCAAUGGGCGAAAGCCUGACGGAGCAACGCCGCGUGAGUGAUGAAGGUCUUCGGAUCGUAAAACUCUGUUAUUAGGGAAGAACAAAUGUGUAAGUAACUAUGCACGUCUUGACGGUACCUAAUCAGAAAGCCACGGCUAACUACGUG
rnacentral:rRNA from 1 species